GUGCCAGCCGCCGCGGUAAUACCGGCAGCCCAAGUGAUGGCCGAUCUUAUUGGGCCUAAAGCGUCCGUAGCUGGCUGCGCAAGUCCGUCGGGAAAUCCACUCGCCCAACGAGUGGGCGUCCGACGGAAACUGCACAGCUUGGGACCGGAAGGCUCGACGGGUACGUCCGGGGUAGGAGUGAAAUCCCGUAAUCCUGGACGGACCGCCGAUGGCGAAAGCACUUCGAGAAAACGGAUCCGACAGUGAGGGACGAAAGCCAGGGUCUCCAACCGGAUUAGAUACCCCUGUAGUCC
rnacentral:rRNA from 1 species